rnacentral:lncRNA from 10 species
GCUGGCAUCCCAGGGUGACUUCACCAUGGGCUGUCAUCGCUGAGGCCAUAAAAAGCCAAAAGCACUACCCUUGAGUCAUCCUAGCCCCUUGGAGCCAAAAACGUAGCAACGUCACGUCUGUAGUUGACCUCGGUUCCGGGCACCUUCCUGAGCAUUCUUCGGGAGGCACUUGUGAAACUCAGCCCAGGUGCUGCCCAGGAUCAGGAGGCUGAGACGUGAUCUGGAAGUGAGUGCCCAUCCAUACACCUUCCCCAGCUUUGGGGCCACAGAGGGACAGAAACCGCAGGCAGGCUGGCCUGGGAAUGAACCUACACCAGCCUGAAGUCAGAAGAGCCUCUAGGAGCCUCCAGCCUGGACUCUUUUUACAGAUGGGGAAACUGAGUCCCAGAGAGGGAGCAAUGAAGGAUGUCUAAGGUCAUCAGCAACGUAAAGCCAACAGCAUCAUCCUGAGUCAUGUUUGAACCUGAGGGAAAGAAACAUAUGUUCGAAGAGGUUCUGAGGCUGCUGCACCCGAUAUCAUACCUGGUUGGCCCUGGGAAAGGGCCCACCUCCAAUACAUAAACACAACCAGCUUUGACAGGGACUCUGAUUACACUGGACCUAUCCAAGAUCUGAGAUCAUCAACUCAUCUCAAAAUCCUUAAGCUGACCACAGCAGCAUCGUCCCUUUUGCAGUGUAAGGGAGCCCAGCUGGGACAAUGUGUGAAUCAACGCAUGAAGGAGUGAGUGAGCAGCUAACCAAAUGAAAGAAUACUCAGAUAUCUGGGGUACAGUUCCCCUCCAGGUUUGCACAGCAUCUGCUGAAGUCUCCACUAGAAACUCAAUGGAAGGUCCCCACCGGAAACUGAAAGUCUCCUAGAGUGGCUUUGAGUUGCGGUUUCACCCUCCCUGCAGAUCCACAGGGGAGGCUGGGGCAGAUGGAAAAUACCAACUUGAUGGUCUGUGGCCACACCAUGCUGCUCCCCAAGGCCCCUCAGAAUUUCACUGCCCAAUAUGGUAGCGCCCAGCCUGAAACGUGGCCAGUGUGAAUUGAGAUGGGCUGGAAAUGCACCAGACUUCCAAGAGCUGGACAAAAACCAUAUACUUUCCAUCCAGCUGUUUGGCAUUGGAUACUGCUGCCUCUGCUUGACUUGAGAAUGUGUGAGAAAAGCUGUGUUUAGACAACUGAAAACCAUGAGCUUGAAAGUAGUGGGGGCACACUCUUGGAGACUCCAGUUGCUCACCAGCUUGGACAAACCACUGGACUCAAAUGAUCAGGUAGAAAUUCAUCACUGGAGAGAACACAGUGGAAUGGCUUCAGCGAAAACUCACUCUGAAGGUCUUCAGGGCAACUUUAAGACUUGCCCCUGGCCGGGCACAGUGGCUUAUGCCUAUAAUCCCAGCACUUUGGGAGGCCGAGGCGGGUGGAUCACCUGAGGUCAGGAGUUCAAGACCAGCCUGGCCAAUAUGGCGAAACCCUGUCUCUACUAAAAAUCCAAAAAAUUAGCCGGGCGUGGUCGUGGGCGCCUGUAAUCCCAGCAACUCGAGAGGCUGAGGCAGGAGAAUUGCCUGAACCCGGGAGGCAGAGUUUGAAGACAGCCGAGAUUGCACCACUGGGCAACAAGAGCAAAACUCCAUCUCAAAAAAAAAAAAAAAAAAAAAAAUACUUGCCCCGGCUUUUUGUGUGAUGGACUUUCUAUUUACAGACGUGAUAUUUAUCUAUGACUUUACUCAGAGUCUGGCUCAUAGACCAGAAGGACUGGUAUCUCCUGGAGCUUGCAGGAAAUGCAAAAUCUCAAACCCCUGUAUUAGUCAGGGUUCUCCAGAGAAGUAGAGCCAAUGGGAUAGAGACAGGGAUAGGGAUGAUAGAGAUGGAGAUAGAGGUAGAGAUCCAUUGAUUCCUCUGUUAAUAAAUUGGCUCAUGCAGUUGUGACAAUUUCGAAAUCUGCAAGGUAUGUCAGCAAGCUGGAGACCCAGGGAACAGUUGAUGUUGCACCUUGAGUACAAAGGCAGUGUGUCUGGAGCCAUAAUAUCUUCUUGUUAGGAAGACUUUGGUCUUUUCUCUUCUGGCCUUCAACUGCUUGGGUGAGGCCCGUCCCCACUACAGAAGACAAUAGUCUGUUCUACUCAGAGUCUACUGAUUUAAAUGCUCAUCUCAUCCCAAAAAAUACCCUCACAGCAACAUUUAGCCUGUGCAUUUGACCAAACAACUGGGUACCAUGCCCCCCCUCCCAAGUUGACACACAAAAUUGACCAUCAUACCCUCCCCACCCCCAGUCUUACUGAAUGAGAGAGAAUCUGUGCUUCAACAAGAUCCCCAGAAGAGGUAUAAGCGCAGGGAAGUCUGAGAAGCACCACCUUUGAGGCUUAUCCAGGAUGCCCACAUGAGCCUUCUCUGGAUAUGUCAGAUCCCCUUCCUGGCCCCCUAGACACCUCCUCCACUCCCCAAACUUGGAAGCAACAUUGUGGGGAAGCAGGCAGUGAGGCGCUCAGUCUACCACGUUGUGAGAUACACAGCUCCAUCUGUGUAUCAUGAUUUGAUCCAAGGGAAAACAAAAGAUCCAGAAACAUAAGUACUUUUUUGUGAGCUCUCAAAAACUUCCUGUGACAAGAUCAGGUCGUUGAUGCGAGAGCCACACUUGUUUCUUUUUCCUCUUUAUUCUCCACCUCUGACAUAAUACUUAGCAUAAAAAAAAAUCCAAUAAACACCACUGAAUCAAUUAUCUAAGCCUCAGUUUCCCUCUUGUAAUAUGUACUUACCUGGUUGUGGUAGGAAAGACACCAGGCAUGAGAAACACUUAAAAGCCCAGGACCCUGAGCUGGGCACAUGGUAGGUACUCAGGAAGUCAUUGCCGAGUGUUCAGUGCAUGCUUGUUGAAUGAGUAAAUGAGGUCAGGCUUCAGCAUGCAAACACUCGCUAUAAAGCAGGAACCCUGUGCCCUGAGUGCACAAAAUAGAUAUCGAGAAGGAACACAGGCUCAGACAUCAGUGCCAUAUCUGAAGACAUUCAGCUAAUAACAGGAUGGAGUCCAAUCUGCUGGUGUGUGCACACCUGUGCCUGGGUGUCUUUGCUGGUGUGUGCACAUGUGUCUACAUGUGUGGUCGUGAGAGUACACACAGGGGCUGGAGGGUGGGGAAGGGCUUAAUCUAAUCCUGAAAGUGCCAGCAGAACUCUUGGGUGUCCCUCAAAGUCAAGCUUCUUUCCAGGUCAUCGAAGUUUUCACUUGGGUAAUAAUGCACGCAUAAUUAACUGAACAAAUAUAAUGAAUCUAUCUGUAGUGACAUGAUAGUUGGUGCUGAAUCCUAUUAGAGCACAUUUAAUUAAAAAUGCAUUAAACCUUCAAGCUUCUAAACACACCCUGCGCUUCUUCAAAGCCGCCCCUCCGUUAAAGUCUUCCCCACUAUUAACUAUGAGUCAGCCUGUGACCCUUUGGGCAUGACGGGGUGAGGUGAAGUGGCUCUUAAAUGCCUGUGCCAGUAUAUCACAGGCACUAAUGGAUUUAAAUCAGGGAGAUUAAUUCCAUUCAUUCGGCUCCUCAUUUCAGAAACAACUGUCACGCUGAGCCUAAUUGCUGAAGAUGGUUGAAGGCACCAGGAGGCUGGAGUUUCCUGGAGGUGGUUUGUGGCCAACCGUCAAUUACUUGGGCUGCUGUGCAGUGGGGAUAGAAGGAUGAUUAGAAUCCACAGACAACCCAUUGGCCUUUGUUUACCAUUAACUUCUGUUUUCUCCACCAGCCAAGCUCCUCCAGACCCAGGAGAUGGCUCUUCCCUCUGUGUAGCACACUCUUUCCAGUCAAGGGGUCUUGCACUGCUAUUUCCCCUUCUGCUUUGCUUGGUUCAUUCUUACUGACCCUCCAAAUACUGAAGGAAUGAAUGGAGAAAUAAGUAAAUGAGAGAUGUGGCCAAGAGUCUCCAAGAGAGGAAAUUAAAAAAUCCUAUACCUGUGAGGAACUGGCCCACUUGCAAAAGGCGGACUCAUUUGUCACUGUGUUUGCUGGCUGCUCGCACCACACAGUUUCCAGCCUAGGCAUUAUUUCCAACCUCUUUUUCCAAAGGGUCUUUCUAAGGUACAGAAAAUGGACAUAAAAUCGCCCAACGUAGUUGAGAGGUAAGGAGUAAAAGCCGGAAUUUGAACUCCUAAUCUCCUGCCACGAUUUCAUGCUGCCUCUGGGUAAUCUCCCAGCACGUUGCUUAAUCAGCUGCUGAGUCAUUGAGAGCCGGCAGAACCAGCUUCCUGCUGAGGCAGAGUGGGAGGAGGCCCGUCUGGGAGCAGCACACUGAAGGAAGGGAGGAGGAGGUGAUGUUUGGCACAAUCGGAUUGGUUCCCAUGAGGUCCAGGGCUGCGGCUCCUACAGAAGGCACUUUUUGCAUAUGGUAGGCUUCACGGGGUGCAACCUCUGUGUUGUUAGGAGAACCUCGUGCUUGCUAUGAUGCUCUGCUGUCAUUAUCUUGAAAUUCUUAGUCACAUUAAAACACGGGAGCCUACAUGUUUAUUUUGCACUGGAUCCUGCAAAUUAGCCAGUCCUGGUACUGAGGGCAGGUCCCUGGGUGAGUCUCACACAGCCUCCAUCCUUUGGUAAAGCAGCUUUCCUGAUUUAGCAAAUGCCUUACCAGAAAGCCUUUUCCUUGAAGAUGCUUUAACUUUUGUCUUCCCUGGCAAAGCUGUUUCCUUAUGGUAAAGCACCCAGCUCAUAGCUGAUAUUCAAUCCAUGAAGUAGCUCUGUCAGCAGCUGUCAUCAUGAAGACUUUGCAGCCUGCGGGUGGUAGCAUUCUGAAUCGUCAGUCUGUCUCGCUCCUGUAGCAAAUGCACGAUCCGGGAAAGCAUGUCCCAAGCUUUGUUCUGGAGAAGAUUUCUCCAGCUAUCAGAUGGUGUCUGUCAUCACAAUAGCUUAGGAGAUGCUGCUCACUCCAUCCUCCUCACUAAGUGUCACAGUACACUUGGGUAUGUACAAGUCUCUGAGAAGUCCAGCAGCAAAGACACCUUUGUGUUUUGCUGAUUCUAGCCUUUCCUAGACUAGAAGUCUUUUUUUCUAGUCUAGGAAAAGACUGUGGAAUCUUUUCUUUUUUUUCCUGAUACACACAUUCACAUUCCGUGGAACAUUUAGGACGUGGUUAUCUGGUCCUAAAGUAGUAAAGGUGAAGAUGUUGUGGGAGGUGCAAGAAAGAGCAGCAAGGAGUAGAUGGGGCACACUGCAAAGUGCGAUCCCCACAUACCUAAGUUAGUAUCAAUUACUACUAACAAAACUCGGCCAAGACUCUUUUGCAUUCGUUUUGUUUCUCUCUUUUACCCUGAUUAUAUUAAGAAAUAUGACAGGCCUGUGACUCACUGAUUAGACCAUCUUAGUCACUUUGGGUUGUCCCAGCAACAGGAGACUUAACUCUGACCAUAGGUAAGGAGCCCAGAGGACAGGAGAGCAGGGAUUUCUGAGGAUUUAACAAAUGCUUAUAAACAAAUGAUAUCACUUUGAACAAAGUAAUCAAAGUAUCAAAUGCUAUAAACACCACAGUAGGGCAAUGUGUGAAUCAUACUUGUGGUGAGACAUACAUAGAUCAGCUGCAAAGAGGAACUCAAUUCUGCAGAACCUCAGCUGGAGUAACUGAUGUGAAACAUGGACAGGGAAAUGGAAGGAAGUCAGCGGACACGGAAACUCUAGGAACUGAACUUUGACAAGGAACGCCGUCCAUAAUCCCAAGUCCUAUGACUUCAUAGAGGAAAAAAACCCUAGUGGAGCAGAACAGGGCCUCAUAGAGGGGCUGGGGCCUCACUGAGGGCUGGGAAGUUUGAUAGGACUUCCCUUGCUGGUAAGGAACAAAACUGGGUCUCAGGUUCAGGUUUGUAAAGCUAAUUUCAUACAUUUGCAGCAGAUGCUGUCAGUGUCCCUCCCCAAGCCCCUCAGCACUCAGCAUUCAUAGACAUCCUCAUCUUGCAAGCACCUGAGUCUCUCUCUGUAAGGUUUCUGUUGGCCUCAGGGCAGACCAGGGUACCAGGGAGGGCAGACCAGGGUACCAGGGAGCACAGCCCUCAAAGAAAGAUGACAGGAGUUGGUGUAAAUCUCAUGGCUUUCAUGUUACUUAGGGGGACCAAUGCUGAGGCAUGCUUAGCAUGAUCCUCUGUGAGACUGGGCCUCAGGUGUCCGCUGCAGCCGCCUGUUCAUUAGUGUGACAUGCACGGGAUUCCUUCCGUAUCCUGGCCCCUUUCUCUACUUCCCAACCGUGCUUCCUGAGACAUACUCAAAUCCUUGUCUCACACUUGGCUUCUGGGAGAAUCCAACUGCAAAUGCUGUGUUUUAUUUUUUAUUUAUGUAUUUAAUUAUUUGGAGAUAGGGUCUCCCUCUGUCACCCAGGCUGGAGUAAAAUGGCACAAUCCUAGCUCACUGCAAUAUUAAACUCCUGGGCUCCAGUAAUCCUCAGCCUCCAGGAGCUGGAACUACAGUCGUGCACAGCAAUGCCAGCUAAAGUUUCCUUUAAAUUUUUUGUAGAGUCAAGAUCUCACUAUUUCAGUCAGGUCUUGAACUCCUUGCCUCCCAAAGUUCUGGGAUUACAGCACUUGGCCUCCCAAAGUGCUGGGAUUACAGGCGUGAGCCACUGCAUCUGGCUGUUUAUUCCAUUAAAAUGAUUGAAGGAGUCUCUUGCUUUGGGAAUUUUGCUCCCGUGGUGAGAACACUAUGGGAAUGACAUCUCAAGAAUAUGGCUCCUUCAAAUGAAUUUAAAAUGGUCUUUCUAUUUUUGUCCAGUGGUUACAAUAGCUGAUGGGCUCGAGGUAAGGAGAUGCUAAGCUGCCAUUCUCUCCUUCAACCCAUGGCAUUUACUGAGCUUCUAAAUCAGUCAGGCCCUGGGCUGGACCCUGGGCAUGCAGACUGAAUCAGAGCCUUCAGGACUAGCAGGAGAGACAGGUAUAUAUAGUGGCAAGGGCAAUAUUUAUUCACUCAUUCAUUCUUUUUCCUUUUUUAUGUGCCAAAUCUUUAAUGAGGGCCUACCUUGUACUCAGGAACACCAGGAAUAAACAGAAAACAAAAAGAUAUCAUUUCUGGACUCAGUUCACCAUCUAGAGAAAAAAAAAAAAAAAAAAAAAGACCUGAAAUGGACAAAUACAGUACUGUUUGACAAAUGUCACGUAAGAAGAAGCCCAUGAUACUGAGGAUGGUAUAGGAGGGGCCGUAUCCAGGUUGAAGGAGUCAAAUAUGACAGCUGCCGUGAGAAUUACAAUCAGAAAACCAUGACCCGGAUGCUUAUCCUAUUCAUUGCUUGAGCCUGAGAACACAAACACACAGGGUGUGGCUGAAAUUCCUCUGAAAUUGUAUUGAUUUGAGAAAACUGCAAUCUUGUGUUAAAAUGUGAAUCAUACACAAGGAUGCAAAACAGUUACCGCUGACCAUAAAUCUAGGCUAUCAGAAUGGAAUCUGAUGGCUUGUCUACCAGACUGCAUUGUGAAACCAAUCAAAUGGGAGAUAGACUCACCACUUACCAAGUACCUCUGAGACACCAGGCACCCUGUGGGGUGCCCUACUCAUCAUCUUGUUUAACCAGUUGAUUGGGAAUAGCUCCAUUUUACAGAGAAAGACUGUUAGGCAGCUUUCUAAGAUGGCCCUAAUUAUUCCUUCCUUCUGGUAAUCCCCUUCCUUUAAAUGUGGGCUACACUUAAUUACCUGCUUUUAACAAACAGAAUAUAGCAAAAGUGAUGGGAUGUCAGGAGACUGAAUCAGUAACCAAAAACCUCCAGACAAAGAAAAGCCCAGGGCCAGAGGGCUUCACUGGUAAAUUUACCAAACAUUUAAAGAAGAAUUAGCACCAGUCUUUCUCAAACUCCUCAACAAAUUGAAGAGGAGAGAACACUUCUAAAUACACUUUAUGAGGCCAGCAUUACCCUAACAUCAGAGCCAGACAAAGACACAAGAAAAGAAAACUACAGACUAAUAUUUCUAAUGAAUCUUGAUGCACAAAUCCUCAAAAAAGAAGAAAACAUACUAGCAAACAUAAUUCAGCCGCACAUUAAAAGGAUUAAGCACCAUGACAAAGUGGGAUUUAUUCUUAGUAUAAAAGGAUAUUUCAACGUAAAAAAGUCAAUGUAAUAUAUCACAUUAAUAGAAUGAUGAGAAAAAAUCCACAAGAUUAUCCCAAUUGAUGCAUUUAACAAAACUUAAUACUCUUUCAUGAAAAAACACUCAACAAACCAGGAAUACAUGAAACUACCCCAACAUAAGACAGUCCACAAAUGAAAAGCUCACAACCAACAUAAUACUCAUGGUGAAAAGCUGAAAGCUUCCUCUAAGAUCAGGAAUGAGACAAAAAUGUCCACUUUUGAAUCAACCUGUAUUCAACAUAGUAUAAGAAGUCCUCGCCAGAAUUUUCAGGAAAAAAAAAAAAGAAAGAAAAAAAAGCCAGUCAAAUUGAAAAGAAAGAAGAAAAAUUAUCUUUGCUCACAAAUGACAUGAACUUAUAAAACUCCUAGAAUUAAUAAAUGGAUGCUGCAAUGUUGAAGGAUACAAAAAUCAACACACAAAAAUCAGUUAUGUUUUUAUAUACUAACAAUGAAUGAGCCAAAAAUGAAAUUAAAACAAUUCCAUUUACAAUAGCAUCAGAAAGACUAAAAUACCUAACAAUAAACUUAACCAAGGAGGUAAAAUGCUUGAGUAUUUAGACACUAAAAAUUAUAAGGCCUGCACGGUGGUUCAUACCUGUAAUCCCAGCAUUUUGGGAGGCAGGUGGAUCACUUGAGGUUAGGAGUUUGAGACCAGCCUGGCC